CCUACGGGAGGCAGCAGUAGGGAAUAUUGCUCAAUGGGGGAAACCCUGAAGCAGCAACGCCGCGUGGAGGAUGAAGGUUUUCGGAUUGUAAACUCCUUUUGUUAGAGAAGAUAAUGACGGUAUCUAACGAAUAAGCACCGGCUAACUCCGUGCCAGCAGCCGCGGUAAUACGGAGGGUGCAAGCGUUACUCGGAAUCACUGGGAGUAAAGAGCGCGUAGGCGGGAUAGCAAGUCAGAUGUGAAAUCCUAUGGCUUAACCAUAGAACUGCAUUUGAAACUGUUAUUCUAGAGUAUGGGAGAGGUAGGUGGAAUUCUUGGGGGAGGGGUAAAAUCCGUAGAGAUCAAGAGGAAUACUCAUUGCGAAGGCGACCUACUAGAACAUAACGGACGCUGAUGCGCGAAAGCGUGGGGAGCAAACAGGAUUAGAUACCCGUGUAGUC
rnacentral:rRNA from 1 species